rnacentral:misc_RNA from 1 species
AACAUCGCGCACCUGCGGGAACCUGCGGAGGGAUCAUUACCGAGUUUACAACUCCCAAACCCCUGUGAACAUACCUAUACGUUGCCUCGGCGGAUCAGCCCGCGCCCUGUAAAAAGGGACGGCCCGCCCGAGGACCCUAAACUCUGUUUUUAGUGGAACUUCUGAGUAAAACAAACAAAUAAAUCAAAACUUUUAACAAUGGAUCU